rnacentral:rRNA from 1 species
CCUACGGGCGGCAGCAGUGCGGAAUAUUGGUCAAUGGGCGCGAGCCUGAACCAGCCCAGUAGCGUGAAGGAUGACUGCCCUACGGGUUGUAAACCUCUUUUAUAAAGGAAUAAAGUGAGGCACGUGUGCCUUUUUGUAUGUACUUUAUGAAUAAGGAUCGGCUAACUCCGUGCACGCAGCCGCGGUAAUACGGAGGAGCCGUGCGUUAUCCGGAUUUAUUGGGUUUAAAGGGUGCGUAGAGGGGUUGUUAAGUCAGUUGUGAAAGUUUGCGGCUCAACCGUAAAAUUGCAAUUGAGACUGGCAGUCUUGCGUGCAGUUGAGGUAGGCGGAAUUCGUGGUGUAGCGGUGAGAUGCUUAGAUAUCACGAAGAACUCCGAUUGCGAAGGCAGCUUACUAAACUGCCACUGACAUUGAUGCUCGAAAGUGUGGGUAUCAAACAGGAUUAGAUACCCGUGUAGUC